rnacentral:rRNA from 1 species
UUCAUUUUGCUCCCGCAGAUCCCUGCCAGCAUUGAAGACCAAGACUACAUGGGCAUUGAGACUGGAACCAUUGUUCCCUGCGAGGAGCAUGGGCUGCCAUGUGAGAGGCGUGUAGCCUUUGAGGGAUUUGAGACGGGCAGGAGGUUUUUAGCCUGUCCUCUUAAAGAAGGUCAGAACUGUGGUUCUGUUCAAUGGGUUGACCCAGAGUGGCCUCCUACAAUGCAAAAUGCACUGUUGAAGCUAUGGGAAAUGUAUCAAGACAGCAAGAGUGAUAGGAGGAAGGAUAACCUGGAGAGUUCACUCACUAUUCAUCAUUUGACAGAAGAAAAAAAUAAACUGGAGGCCAACUAUGACAAAUUAGUUGAAAAUGUUCAUGAACUUUUGAAUGCCCAAGAGGAUAGGGUGCUGGAUUUCAGAUAUUUGCAGUCUAAGAGUGCAGAGGAGAGGAAUGCUGAGGUGACCAACUCAGUUGUCUCAGAUAUGAAGACAGAGAUGGAGAAGAAAGAGGCAGAGAUCUUCAAGCUGCAAGGGAAGUAUGAAGUCCUUAUGAACCUGACAAAAGCCCAAGGCACUGUCAUCAGGAACCUGAAGUUUAACCAUUUGAAAGAGAAGGAAGUGCUUAGUGCAGACAUGAGGAACUUGCAGUUCCAGGUUGCUGAACUAACUAAGUCUGUGGAGAAGCUAACCCAAGAAAAUCUCAAGUUGAAGCAGGAUGCUGAACUCACCCAGUCUCAGGAAAAGCUUACCCAAGAGAAUCUCCAGCUGAAGGAUCACAUUGGUGAUAUGAAAAAGGGACAUGAUAAGCUCAUCCAAGAGAAUCUCCAGCUGAAGGAUCACAUGGGUGAUCUGAAAAAGGGCCAUGACAAGCUCACUAAAGAUAGGGCUCAACUCAAGCUUCAGAUUGCUAAUCUGUUGAAGGCAGAGGAGAAGAACAAGCAGAAUAUGAAGGGGAUCCAGGCCAUCUUGGAUGAAUGA